GUGUAGUGUAGUGGUUUGAAUGUUGGAUUGAUACUCCAGAAAUUAGGGUUCAAAUCUCUGCUCA